AUCCUGGCUCAGAUUGAACGCUGGCGGCAGGCCUAACACAUGCAAGUUGAGCGGGGUUUCGGACCUAGCGGCGGACGGGUGAGUAAUGCGUAGGAAGCUACCCGACAGAGGGGGAUACCAGUUGGAAACGACUGUUAAUACCGCAUAAUGUCUACGGACCAAAGUGUGGGACCUUCGGGCCACAUGCUGUCGGAUGCGCCUACGUGGGAUUAGCUAGUUGGUGAGGUAAUGGCUCACCAAGGCGACGAUCCCUAGCUGGUUUGAGAGGAUGAUCAGCCACACUGGAACUGAGACACGGUCCAGACUCCUACGGGAGGCAGCAGUGGGGAAUAUUGGACAAUGGGCGCAAGCCUGAUCCAGCCAUGCCGCGUGUGUGAAGAAGGCCUUCGGGUUGUAAAGCACUUUCAGCGAGGAGGAAGGGUUGUGUGUUAAUAGCACAUAGCCUUGACGUUACUCGCAGAAGAAGCACCGGCUAACUCUGUG
rnacentral:rRNA from 1 species